rnacentral:snoRNA from 1 species
AAUCCGUGGUGCGGACAUUUCUGAAUCAAUGUUUUAAAAUGUUCCCAAGCUUCAUGAAAACUUUCCCCUUCUAUCUGUCUAAAGACUAAUUUAUCUUCUUAGUU